GGCCUAGUCAGUGAGGUGUGGAUGUGG
rnacentral:piRNA from 1 species